GUCGUCGUAGACUACGACGUUGAUAGGGUGCAGGUGUAAAGACGGCGACGUCAAAGCCGAGCACUACUAAUUGCCCGAAUACUUUCGCAUG
rnacentral:rRNA from 1 species